rfam:Cobetia sp. TCD-24C scaffold_1, whole genome shotgun sequence.
GCCCAGAUGGCGGAAUUGGUAGACGCGCUAGCUUCAGGUGCUAGUAUCCGUAAGGAUGUGGAGGUUCAAGUCCUCUUCUGGGCA